rnacentral:lncRNA from 1 species
GCUCCUUACUUCCUGUCCUUAUGGCAUCGGAAUGUGUCCAGGAUCUCCCCAGCUGCAGGAGGAGCCCUGGGUACUAAGUGCCCGCCACCUUCCUAGUCAACCGGGACCUGAUGGGUGCCACUCACAUGCUAGCAUCCUGUGAUGGGUGUCCCUCAAUGUGCCAGCAUCCUGUGCCUGCCCUUCUACCCACACAGGAGCUCUCACUCCCCCUACCUGCUGCUGCCCCCAAGUCACCGGCCUCUCAGCCCCCACCUCCUCUACUUGCCCCCAGCAGUGGUCAGCAAAUUCUGCCUGUAAAGGCCUGAUGAUAUUUUAGGCUUUGCAGGACUCACGUCGUCUCCAUCACAUGUUCCUUUUUCCUUUCUUCUUUUUUUAAUCUUAGCCCUUUAAAACUAUAUGAACCACCUGGGUGCGGUGGCACACGCCGUGAUCCCCGUGGCUCGGGAGGCUGAGGCAGGAGGAUUGCAAAUUCAAAGCCAGCCUCAGCAAUUUAGCGUGGCCCUAAACAAUUCAAUGAGAGCCUAUCUCGAAAUAAAAAUAUAAAAAAAGAGCUGGGGAUGUGGCUCCAUAGUUAAGCACCCCUGGGUUCAAUCCCUAGUACCAAAAAAAUAAAUUAAUUAAUUAAAUGUACAAAACAUUCUUAGCCUAUGGACUGUGCACAAACAGGCCACAGACCACCAUUUGCUGACCCAUGCCAUGCAGUUUUAGGUGACCUGUUUUGGAGACUCUUCUCUUGCUCCCAAUACCAAGGCCCCUUCAGAGGGUCAGGUUGGGAGGAGGCCGUCCAGGCCCUGCAAGACCCACCCUUUGGUCAAUGGGCAUCCCCUCCAACAUGGCCAGCAUCUUCCCCUACUCUCUGGCUCCUGCC